rnacentral:rRNA from 1 species
AUGGGACGACACUCCCAGAUCCGUGGUGGGCGCGACGACCGCCUGAGCAAGCUCGACGAUGGCGUUCUUGGCAACAUCCUCUCCUUCCUCCCCACCAAGGAGGCCAUGCGGGCGACCGCGCUCUCCACCCGGUGGCGGGACGUCUUCACCAGCGUCCACACGGUUUCUCUAGAGCAAUCGGAAGGCACCGUCUCCCUCGCCAACGGCGUCAACGACGUGCUCCUCGCCCGAUACCGCCACGGCCGCGCCACCGUCCCGAUCCGCUCCCUCCGAGUGGCCUUCCGCUACUACAGUGACGGGAUGAACGACCUCGACUCCAUGAUUGACCGGUGGAUCUCGUACGCCAUCCAGCAGAGUGGACCAGAGCUCCACCUCGACCUGCGCCUCCGCGCCGAUGAAAUCUGCGGCCGCGGCUACUCCCUCCGCAGCGCGGCCGAGGAGAACCAGCCCGGCGUUCAAGACGACGAGCGUGCCAGCAGCAGACGCUCCGCUUGCAGUUCGGACGAUGAAAACCGCGAGGUCGAGUCGCUCCUUCAUGCCCUGGAGGGCAUCGCCCUGGACGCCAUCUCCGACGACGAGGUUGAGACGACCCCUCCUCCCAAAAGACCAUGGCUACGGCAGCAGAAGGACAAGCUGUACACUGUUCCACGAUCUGUCUUCUCCUGCGCCGCGCUGCGCACACUGUUCCUCGGGUGCUGCAAGCUCGACCCGCCGGCGGGCGGGACCAACCUGCCGUCCCUCAAGGCGCUGGUCCUGACCCAUGUUGCCGACUCGGCCAGGAAGAUUCAACGGCUCAUCUCCAGCUGCCCGUUCCUCGCCGACCUGACGCUAGAGGCCUGCGCCAGAGUGAGGGAGCUCUCCGUGCUCGACAAACGCCUCCGCAGGCUGACCCUGCGGUGUUGCCACCGGUUGGCGAGCGUCAUCAUCGAUGCGUCGGAGCUGCGCGCCUUAGAGUACAGGGGUGACGUGCCCGCGCAGCCAUCGUUUCUGACCAUGCACCACGGCCCGCGAAGCCUCUUGUCAUGCAGAGUCGAUUUAUGCGGCGGGGAGCUAACGUCGGAGGAGGAUCUCACCCACCUCGACGAAUUCCUCCACCACUUUGGACCCACGGAGCAUUUGCACCUGACGUCCGCCCGCCUGGGCUCCGGCAUCGACAACGACGCCUUCGCCACACGGUUCCCGACGUUCUUGAAGCUUCGCCACCUUGAGCUCACGGGCUCCCUGCCGCACGACGACGAUACCCACGGCAACGCCGUCGUCGCUGCGGUGGCAAGGAUCCUGGGGCAUGCCCCCAACCUGGAGGUGCUCACGCUAUUCUUCAAGGCGCCGCCUCGCGAGAAGCCAGAGCGCUACGGCAUCUACAAGGAGGAGGAGUUUCUGGACACGCACCAUCUCAAGUAUGACUGCGACACCAUUGUCCUGCAGACGCCGCCUGCCGACCUGCUGCCCCCCUGCCUGAGGGAGAUCAACCUGGUGAACUACCAGGGCGGCAGCGCGCAGAGGAAGCUGGCCAAGUUCCUACUCGGGAACGUUGCCCGGCUGGAGGCGCUAUACUGUGGAUUUGCCGAGGGGCCGCUAUGGAUACAGAACAAGCUCAUGGAUGAGAUGAGAGGCUGGGCCAUGGACAAGAUUGAGCCAAACGACAUGAUGUUCAUGUGA